GUCCCUGUAGCGCAAUGGAUAGCGCGUUGGACUUUUAAUCCAAAGGUCGUGGGUUCGAAUCCGACCUGGGACG
rnacentral:tRNA from 1 species